UAAUGUUUCUAUGCUUUACGUGAAGCACUUUGAACGCAAAGUUUGUCCCAGUCCGCCAUGUUUUGGGUUUUUCGGAGCUGGGGCGUCUCGAACCAGAAGCAGUCCACGUUCCAGCGGACCAGUCCGGCGUCACAACAGUUCAACACUUCACCUCACGUCAAAAUCAUUUCUUUAUUCAACUCCUCGAAGUUCAAGGAGACUCUGUCUUCUUCUUCUGUCUAGGACACUCUGUCGUCCUGGGUAACACGCUCACCUGGGGGCGGAGCUGACUCGAUGACGUUGGGAAGAAACAGCGCAGCGUCUCUGUGAAGAAUAACGACUAAAAGUGAGAAACAGCGCAACUUGUGUUUGUUUCGCGAAUUACCGGACUCACACACACACGAGUAUUGGAGUGUCAAAAUGACCAGACGAAAACCUGGAAAACGAUGGAGAAGGACUGAUAAUGAAGAAGAUCCACAUAAACGACCAAGAAGGACUGCACAAUUGUCAUCCCCCCCUGCAGCCACCAAUGUUCAUGUGGAGGAUGAUCAGCAAUAUUUAGGAGGUAGCAGCAGGGGAACACAGCGGGGGGUGCCUCCUGGAGGAGCCUAAAACGCUGCACUUCAAGGGGAAAACGUCCAACCUCCGAGUGUCCAUGCAUGAUGUACCACACUCACUCUGGAAAAUCAAGCUCUCACCACCUGCCAGGAAGCGUGGCACAACAGAGUAUUUCAACUGUUGACUCUAUCGAAGACAAUGAAGAACCAUCU